rnacentral:lncRNA from 1 species
AAGGUCACGCUCAGCCUGUCUCAGCGCCCAGUGGCUCUCCAUGAGCCGCUUUUCAAAUGGCUGAUGACUCUCUGCUGCAGGUGGGAGCCCGGCUGCGGAGCCCACGCUGUCCAUCUCCUGCCCGGGAUUUCCAAAGACUCCCCACGGUGGCCUUCUGCACCACGGUGGACCCACAUCACUGGACGCAGAUGGCACAGCCCAGGGGCAGAGUUACCGGGUCUGGCACCUGAACCCCCUGGAGAGGAGUCCUCGCCGAGGCCCAACAGAAGUGGCACUGUCCCAGUAUCCUGACAAACGGUUUGGAGCAGUGCUUCCUGGUGUCCUUCAUGGGUCAUCUCCAAAGUCCAAAGAGGCAGAUCAAGCACUGUGCCUUUUCCUGGUGGCCGAAGACGCCGGAUAAAGUGACUCAUCUGUCUCGGAAGGACCCGCCCCUUUGAGGCUCCAAGAACCUCACUGAGGCGUCAGAUGUCAGCCUUCGAAGGGCUCGUCUGCCACCCUCUGUACCGCAGGGAGGUCUUACAAGGGACCCGGGAGACGUCCCACUUCCUGCUCAUCAGGUGUGAUGAGCACAAAAUCUUCAAUGUCCUGUGUCAGUCUGCUGCUCUACGGAGUGUCCGUGAUGAAGGUCCCUGCAAAUGCAAACUGCUGUCUUAUCUUAGGUAGCUGCAGAUCACUUCUGAUACGUCUUCCUCACGGGGCCUGCAAAGGGCAUGCUCACCCAGUCUACAGCUUCAUUCCAAAUCCCAGAGGCUGUGUUGAUCUGCUCCACUGCAGAGAGAAUGCAUGUCACGACGGCAGCUUGGGGCUACCACUGGGUCACGUUCACCGUGAUCCAUCCCCAUCGGCUAUGAUUGGGGUAGUUUUGUGAGGGCCCCAGCGGUGCAUCACACAGGGCUACGGGGGACCACCUUCCCUGCCUUCUGUAAGUGAUCAAAGGGGACACUAGCUCUGACUGACAGCCUUUGUGCUGUUGCUCCUGGUUUUCCAUCUCGUAAGUGUGUCCACCCUCAGUACUCACUCAAGGACAGAAGAAAUGUCCCCAGGACGGUUCUCCAGGCUCACGGACUUCCUGUGGAUGGAUUUGGGCUGGACUUCACUUCUCUCUUGGAUUCUGUGAACCCCCUUCUGACAGGGAGAGUCAGGAAUUUGGGGUCUCCUGGUAUGGGUGUCAGCUCUGACCCUGUUCCCAGCAGUCCUGAGAGUCCUGGCUAUUCCCCUUCCCCUGCAUCAGAGCUGUCUGAUAAAUGACCGUAAGGAAGGAUCAAGACAAUCCUGGACCAAAGGAUCACGACUUUCAAGGUCCUUCAAAUAAACCAAAUAAACCUAAUAAAUGAGCC